UCUUGUUAUAGCACGACUUUAUGCUUGUAGCAGUUCAGCAUUAUUCUCGUAAUAGUACGACUUUAUAUCUGGAAAUAUAAGAACACUAGUGUUGAAAUCUAUUGUUGUCCUGAUAUUCUGUCAUGGAGGGAAAGAGACAGACAUUAUAAUUAACAUGACGCCACAACUUACUUCUCAUUAGAAGCUGAACACGGGCAGGUGGUUUCAACAUGGCGUCCAGUGGCUCCUCGUCCUCCACCGGCGGCUGAAGAAGGAGCAGGAAGCCGCUCACUGACGACAGAGGAAGAAACCAGAGGUCAAGACGACGAGGAGAACUUGUUCCUGCGCUGCGGUAACUCUUCACACGCAGAAACAUCGAACUGUGGCUUUGAAGUAGCAUAUUAGUUUGAUAGCGGGUUAGCUAGCUCACGUUAGCCGGCGGACCGCGCGCAGAGACCAUGACUCCUCCUCAGCAGCUGCAGCUCGAGCACCGUCAGCCUCACGCCUCCAUCAUCACUCAGAAAGUGCAGUUGAUGUACAAACUGUUUCUGCUGGAACACGCCAGGAGGACGCUGGAAGAAGAGCUGAGCAGCUUCACCAACAAGGCCUAUGAUGACGUUCAAGGUUUCUUGAAUCCAUCUUCUCCCACCAGUGUGUUCAGGGAUCUCGCUAACGCUUUGGAUUCAAAAUGUCGAGCUAUUGACAAGCUCUCAGCUUUAUUAAAGGAUCUCAUAGUUGAGCCAAGUGGUUGUGUUCAGCCGGCUGUCGGGUUUGGAGUGAGAACAAACCGGCUGCAGCCACUCGGAGACAAGAGGGUCCUGAUGACAGAUGUUCUCAAGUUUGGGCCCAUGUUACAGAACGUGCUCCUGGCGAGCUCCAUAGCGAAAGCUGUCCAGGUGGUUGGAGGCACACGGUCCCUUCAGCAGCUGAAACAUUUCCUCAUCUCCCAGCCUGCAGCGGCCCGGGAGGAUGACAUGAUUUACAGCAUCUCUAGUGGCUACAACAGCGCCGGUCAGACCACGCGCUCGUCCUGUAAUUUAAAGGGUGAAGAAAAAGAACAAGCUGUUACUUAUGAGGAGAAAAGCCAACCAGAUGAUGUGAUUCUGCCACCUGCCAUUAUUCAGAGCCCAGAGAUUCAUGCAGAGAGACCAUCACCACCGCUCCUACAUCCAAUACAAGCUGUACUUCCAGAAAUCAGCAAGCCAACGCCCAUGAAAAUGACACCGCUAAUUAAGUGGGGACGGGAGGACGAUGUCCAGGUGCAACACCAAAAACAAACAUCCUCUCAGCUGCAGCACUUCCUCAGGGCCAAAGCUAAAAACUCUGGUGCACUGGAGGUCACAGUCAUGAAGUGGAAUAAAAGUAUGUACGCCUCAGGUUCGCCACAGUCAACGUCGCCUACCAUCAAAACACAAAGUUACCAAUUCAGAAAUGUUGUGACAGACGAUCUUGUCAGAGCUCUAGCCCCGAAAACAUUGCGUGCAGACAUUGAAAAUCAAGCCCCUGUCUUCAGAGUAAAACGAAUGGAAUCGAGCGGCUCUCUGACCUACACUUGUGUGAUUGCAACAAGGACGGAAUUGUGGGAUAUUGGAGACAUCUUCACAGAGGUGCAACAAGCCCAUUCUGAUGGCAGCCCAGAGAAAAAAGAAGGCUGCCAAAAUAUAACUGCUCAAGUGGAGAACUCUAGUGUAAACAUCCAGUGGAAAACCCAAACUCUCCAGUGCACAGAACCUGAAAGAGAGAACAAUUCCGCUGGCGCAGAAACACCAGCGAUCAACAGUGUUACCAUUCCCGAGUUCCAGAUCAGGAAGUUUGAAGAGACUGAAGUUGUGGUGUCUCAUAUUAUCAGCCCAGGCAACUUCUACAUCCAGCACGCAGACUCCCUCUCGAAGCUGCAGGCCCUUGUUACAGACAGCUGGAAAGCCAGUAGUUCAUAUGCCGAGCAGAACUGCAUUCCAGACAUUGGAACCCAAGUAAUGGGUUGGUUCCCUAAGCGAGAACAAUGGUGCAGGGCUCAGGUGACAAAGAUAUGUGGAGUAAGUGGAGAUAAUAACUCCACUGACGGUGCUGGGUGUGAGACCUCCAUCAACGUGGAGGUGAAGAGGCUGGACCACGGUGACACUGCCUGCCUGUCAAUGUGGAACAUAAAGGAUCUGACCCCAGAAAUGUCCGUCCUUCCAUUUCAGGCUUUACACGUCUCACUUGCAAAUGUGAUGCCUGUGAAUGGGAGGGACUGGUCUGAAGAGGCAGUGGGCUGGUUCAAAGUGAUGGUGCACAACAGGACACUUUAUGCCCGACUCUACCCGCAGGGGCCCAAAGUUACAGUCGAGCUGUUUCUGGAAAAGGGCAAGCUCGGAGCAAUGAGGAGAAGUGCAUCAUUGUCCCUGAGACUGGCCCAAAAUGGACAUGCAAAACACAGCAAGCUGAAGAACGUGGGUCUCCUGAAAAGCACUGUUAAAGAAAAAAUUAGAAAACAGGAUUCUGACUGGGAGAAAUACCUCAUCUCCUGCUAUACUCAAACAGCAGCUCAUGUAUUUUCUGGAUGAAUCUGCAAACCUGUGAAUGACUCUGCUCUGUGACAGUGGCUCAGGUCAAAAGCUCCGUUCACUCCCCUGCUCUGCCAAGCACAAUAAAAAAUGUGGCAGGCUGAGGCCUUUUGUGUCCACACAGAUUCCUCCUUUUGCCCGGGACCUGGAGUCGAAAAUGAACUGGGGAACCUUUUAUGCCGUGAUCAGCGGCGUAAACAGGCACUCUACCGGCAUCGGACGCAUCUGGCUGUCGGUAAUCUUCAUCUUCCGUAUCCUGGUCCUGGUUGUCGCUGCGGAGAGUGUUUGGGGAGAUGAGAAGUCGGGCUUCACUUGCAACACCCAGCAGCCCGGCUGCAACAGCGUGUGUUACGACCAGUUCUUCCCCAUCUCGCACAUUCGCCUGUGGGCUCUCCAGCUCAUCCUGGUUUCCACCCCUGCGCUGCUAGUGGCCAUGCAUGUGGCCCACAUACGCCACAUCAACAAGAAGAUACUGAAGAAGGCGGGCCGCUGCAGCCCCAAGGAGCUGGAGCAUGUCAAAAACCAGAAGUUUGAAAUCACCGGAGCUCUGUGGUGGACGUACAUGAUCAGUAUUAUCUUCAGGAUCAUCUUCGAGGGGACUUUUCUCUACAUCUUCUACCUGAUCUACCCUGGCUUUAAGAUGGUGCGUUUAGUGAAGUGUGACUCGUACCCUUGCCCCAACACGGUGGACUGUUUUGUCUCCAGGCCGACAGAAAAGACGAUAUUCACCGUGUUCAUGCUGGCAGUGUCUGGGGUGUGCGUGCUGCUUAAUUUGGCCGAGGUGUUGUACCUCGUAGGCAAGGCCUGCAAACGGUGCUUUGGCAGCUCUGAGGAUGAGUCCAAAACAGCUUGGAUCAGUCCAAGGUUGUCGUCUUACAGGCAAAAUGAAAUCAAUCAGCUGAUUGCAGACCACUCUCUCAAGUCUAAGUUCACUGUGACCAAAAAGAGCCCAAGUGACAAGGGUGAGAGGUGCUCUGCCUUCUGAGACUCUGCCUUUCCGUCUCCCUUUAAACUAACCAACAGUAAUCACACAUGUCCAAUGGAGCAUGGUGCUCUGCAGUAAUGUCACACACACUGUAUAUUUGAUCAUCUGCAUUCACAUUUAUUUAUGUAUUGUAUCAUUCCGCGUUAGUUGCUGUUAGAACUUGUCUAAAAUACUUGAAGCCAGUAGUGGAGGUUAAAGGACAACACCAAUGUUUUUGCAUGUUCUAGCUGAUUUUCUACACAUCAAACAUAUUGACGUCAUAGUCGACCUUUUACCGAAGCUUACCUUGAUUUGUUAGGUUUUUGUCCGGCCUUCGCAGCAGCUUAAAUUCAUCUCAUUAAGAAAAGCUGCCAAGUUGCAAAGGUGGAGUGAUUGCUUGAGCUAAACAAACCAUGACCACGAGGAUCAUGCUUCCAUUUAUUUUUGUCAAAGUUGCAUUGUUGUUGCGUGACAGCUCACUUUAAUGUGCGGAUUUGACGGAAUCCCACAGGUGUGUCAUGUUUGUGUCCUGAUUAGACGCCAGACGUUGCUGCCAAAAUAGCUGCAUUUAUGAGCUAUGACAUGGGGAAAUCAAACCCAGAAGACUAACCACGGGCACGAAAUAGAUGUGAGAAGUUUAACAUGAAUAUUUACGUUUUUGCGUUCGAAAUGUUGCUGUUCGGAAACGGACUCCGGUUUAGGAUAUCGGUUUCUCAUCAGCACACAGACGCACCAUCCAACCGAUUUUUUCAAAUUCUUCCAUGCGAUUAAGCUGCUCAGACCGAAACAAUUAAGUUUUGACGGCGAAAAAAGACGAAUUAACUAAUUUAAGGAUGUUUCUUUAAGUUAUGUAUAGAGUUUAAAUGCAUACUGUAAAUUGAAAGGAAAUGAGUGGCUGCCUGGAGAUUACAAAAUAGAAACUUGCUUUUAUUUCCUCCGCAUACAUUUUUUUUUUGCCUGAUUUCUAGUUAUUUGGACAGAAGGUGCAAAAAAAAACAUUGGUUUUGUCUUGAAACAGAAGCAGGGCUGUCUGUUAACAUUACAAUGCUGGAUAGGAAAGUCAACUUUUUCAUUUAGAUAAAAAAAAUAUAUUAUGCUUUUAUGCCGCAUAUUUAUUUCAGUCAAAGGUCGUGUAAAAAGUAUUGAAGAGAACAGUAUUUAUGUGAAUGACUUGUUUGAACAGUAUCGUAACUUUAGCUCAGUGGUAGAAUGCUUUGAUUAAAGUGCUAAACUAACCUUUGCAAAAUGAUAAUAUAACUAAAAAAUAACAGUUGGUGCUAGAAAACCAAAGAUAUGAAUAUUGUCAGAUCAUGGAAAACUGCCAUUGGAUAUUAAAUCGUCAAUGUAAAAGGAGAGAAAAUUAUUUUAGAAAUUUCCCUCAAACAUUUUUACAUCAUGAUUUUGUAACACUGAUGGUUUGAGUACAUAAUUCAUUUUGGGUUAGUAAGACUUCAUCCUAUAUAUAAAGCAAGUACUGUUUAACAAUAUGUUAAAUUGAUGAAACGACCAAAUUAUAAUUAUUCAUUAUGCCGUUUCUGCUGGGUGAGUCGCUGUAGGAACACGGAAUAUCCCACUACUGUACAUGAUUUUUUUCUCUUUACAAUAGAUUCCGAUUUUGUAUGCAGUUGUACAUUCCCGCUCGCUUCAUCGCCGCUUCUAUUUUUAAGUUAUUUCUCCAGUUGGCUCUGAUAAAUGUUUGAGGUUGACCUACUUUUUAAAACAGAGACCAUCACUCUGACAGUUGGCAACUGCUUUCUUUAAUGUUACCCUGCAUUGUAUAUUAUCCAGCAUCGCUUUGGUCAUGAAAAUUUAAUAUCCCAUACGCUGGUAUGUUAACCUGUUUUUAUGUACUUUGUUAUGCAUCCAGAAAACCUUCAUGUUUAUUUGUAAAUGCACAUAUCAGUUUACAUCUGGGUCAACAAUCCAGAUAAAUUAUGCAAGGGGUUGGAACUAUAUACUGUGUGUACAUAAUGUAAUAUAAAGAAAUAAAUUGAUAAUUUGACAAAUGCA